UUAAGCGACUAAGCGUACACGGUGGAUGCCCUGGCAGUCAGAGGCGAUGAAGGACGUGCUAAUCUGCGAAAAGCGUCGGUAAGGUGAUAUGAACCGUUAUAACCGGCGAUGUCCGAAUGGGGAAACCCAGUGUGAUUCGUCACACUAUCGUUAACUGAAUACAUAGGUUAACGAGGCGAACCGGGGGAACUGAAACAUCUAAGUACCCCGAGGAAAAGAAAUCAACCGAGAUUCCCCCAGUAGCGGCGAGCGAACGGGGAGCAGCCCAGAGUCUGAAUCAGCUUGUGUGUUAGUGGAACGGUCUGGAAAGUCCGACGGUACAGGGUGAUAGUCCCGUACACCAAAAUGCACAGGUUGUGAACUCGAAGAGUAGGGCGGGACACGUGGUAUCCUGUCUGAAUAUGGGGGGACCAUCCUCCAAGGCUAAAUACUCCUGACUGACCGAUAGUGAACCAGUACCGUGAGGGAAAGGCGAAAAGAACCCCGGCGAGGGGAGUGAAAAAGAACCUGAAACCGUGUACGUACAAGCAGUGGGAGCACCUUCGGGUGUGACUGCGUACCUUUUGUAUAAUGGGUCAGCGACUUAUAUUCUGUAGCAAGGUUAACCGUAUAGGGGAGCCGCAGGGAAACCGAGUCUUAACUGGGCGUUAAGUUGCAGGGUAUAGACCCGAAACCCGGUGAUCUAGCCAUGGGCAGGUUGAAGGUUGGGUAACACUAACUGGAGGACCGAACCGACUAAUGUUGAAAAAUUAGCGGAUGACUUGUGGCUGGGGGUGAAAGGCCAAUCAAACCGGGAGAUAGCUGGUUCUCCCCGAAAGCUAUUUAGGUAGCGCCUCGUGAAUUCAUCUUCGGGGGUAGAGCACUGUUUCGGCUAGGGGGUCAUCCCGACUUACCAACCCGAUGCAAACUACGAAUACCGAAGAAUGUUAUCACGGGAGACACACGGCGGGUGCUAACGUCCGUCGUGAAGAGGGAAACAACCCAGACCGCCAGCUAAGGUCCCAAAGUCAUGGUUAAGUGGGAAACGAUGUGGGAAGGCACAGACAGCCAGGAUGUUGGCUUAGAAGCAGCCAUCAUUUAAAGAAAGCGUAAUAGCUCACUGGUCGAGUCGGCCUGCGCGGAAGAUGUAACGGGGCUAAACNCACUAUCGUUAACUGAAUACAUAGGUUAACGAGGCGAACCGGGGGAACUGAAACAUCUAAGUACCCCGAGGAAAAGAAAUCAACCGAGAUUCCCCCAGUAGCGGCGAGCGAACGGGGAGCAGCCCAGAGUCUGAAUCAGCUUGUGUGUUAGUGGAACGGUCUGGAAAGUCCGACGGUACAGGGUGAUAGUCCCGUACACCAAAAUGCACAGGUUGUGAACUCGAAGAGUAGGGCGGGACACGUGGUAUCCUGUCUGAAUAUGGGGGGACCAUCCUCCAAGGCUAAAUACUCCUGACUGACCGAUAGUGAACCAGUACCGUGAGGGAAAGGCGAAAAGAACCCCGGCGAGGGGAGUGAAAAAGAACCUGAAACCGUGUACGUACAAGCAGUGGGAGCACCUUCGGGUGUGACUGCGUACCUUUUGUAUAAUGGGUCAGCGACUUAUAUUCUGUAGCAAGGUUAACCGUAUAGGGGAGCCGCAGGGAAACCGAGUCUUAACUGGGCGUUAAGUUGCAGGGUAUAGACCCGAAACCCGGUGAUCUAGCCAUGGGCAGGUUGAAGGUUGGGUAACACUAACUGGAGGACCGAACCGACUAAUGUUGAAAAAUUAGCGGAUGACUUGUGGCUGGGGGUGAAAGGCCAAUCAAACCGGGAGAUAGCUGGUUCUCCCCGAAAGCUAUUUAGGUAGCGCCUCGUGAAUUCAUCUUCGGGGGUAGAGCACUGUUUCGGCUAGGGGGUCAUCCCGACUUACCAACCCGAUGCAAACUACGAAUACCGAAGAAUGUUAUCACGGGAGACACACGGCGGGUGCUAACGUCCGUCGUGAAGAGGGAAACAACCCAGACCGCCAGCUAAGGUCCCAAAGUCAUGGUUAAGUGGGAAACGAUGUGGGAAGGCACAGACAGCCAGGAUGUUGGCUUAGAAGCAGCCAUCAUUUAAAGAAAGCGUAAUAGCUCACUGGUCGAGUCGGCCUGCGCGGAAGAUGUAACGGGGCUAAACCAUGCACCGAAGCUGCGGCAGCGACACUAUGUGUUGUUGGGUAGGGGAGCGUUCUGUAAGCCUGCGAAGGUGGCCUGUGAGGGUUGCUGGAGGUAUCAGAAGUGCGAAUGCUGACAUAAGUAACGAUAAAGCGGGUGAAAAGCCCGCUCGCCGGAAGACCAAGGGUUCCUGUCCAACGUUAAUCGGGGCAGGGUGAGUCGACCCCUAAGGCGAGGCCGAAAGGCGUAGUCGAUGGGAAACAGGUUAAUAUUCCUGUACUUGGUGUUACUGCGAAGGGGGGACGGAGAAGGCUAUGUUAGCCGGGCGACGGUUGUCCCGGUUUAAGCAUGUAGGCGGAGGUUCCAGGUAAAUCCGGUACCUUUUAACGCUGAGGUGUGAUGACGAGGCACUACGGUGCUGAAGUAACAAAUGCCCUGCUUCCAGGAAAAGCCUCUAAGCAUCAGGUAACAUUAAAUCGUACCCCAAACCGACACAGGUGGUCAGGUAGAGAAUACCAAGGCGCUUGAGAGAACUCGGGUGAAGGAACUAGGCAAAAUGGUGCCGUAACUUCGGGAGAAGGCACGCUGGUGUGUAGGUGAAGCCCCUGCGGGUGGAGCUGAGACCAGUCGAAGAUACCAGCUGGCUGCAACUGUUUAUUAAAAACACAGCACUGUGCAAACACGAAAGUGGACGUAUACGGUGUGACGCCUGCCCGGUGCCGGAAGGUUAAUUGAUGGGGUUAUCCGUAAGGAGAAGCUCUUGAUCGAAGCCCCGGUAAACGGCGGCCGUAACUAUAACGGUCCUAAGGUAGCGAAAUUCCUUGUCGGGUAAGUUCCGACCUGCACGAAUGGCGUAAUGAUGGCCAGGCUGUCUCCACCCGAGACUCAGUGAAAUUGAACUCGCUGUGAAGAUGCAGUGUACCCGCGGCAAGACGGAAAGACCCCGUGAACCUUUACUAUAGCUUGACACUGAACAUUGAGCCUUGAUGUGUAGGAUAGGUGGGAGGCUUUGAAGCGUGGACGCCAGUCUGCGUGGAGCCAACCUUGAAAUACCACCCUUUAAUGUUUGAUGUUCUAACGUUGGCCCCUUAUCGGGGUUGCGGACAGUGUCUGGUGGGUAGUUUGACUGGGGCGGUCUCCUCCCAAAGAGUAACGGAGGAGCACGAAGGUUAGCUAAUCCUGGUCGGACAUCAGGAGGUUAGUGCAAUGGCAUAAGCUAGCUUGACUGCGAGCGUGACGGCGCGAGCAGGUGCGAAAGCAGGUCAUAGUGAUCCGGUGGUUCUGAAUGGAAGGGCCAUCGCUCAACGGAUAAAAGGUACUCCGGGGAUAACAGGCUGAUACCGCCCAAGAGUUCAUAUCGACGGCGGUGUUUGGCACCUCGAUGUCGGCUCAUCACAUCCUGGGGCUGAAGUAGGUCCCAAGGGUAUGGCUGUUCGCCAUUUAAAGUGGUACGCGAGCUGGGUUUAGAACGUCGUGAGACAGUUCGGUCCCUAUCUGCCGUGGGCGCUGGAGAAUUGAGGGGGGCUGCUCCUAGUACGAGAGGACCGGAGUGGACGCAUCACUGGUGUUCGGGUUGUCAUGCCAAUGGCACUGCCCGGUAGCUAAAUGCGGAAGAGAUAAGUGCUGAAAGCAUCUAAGCACGAAACUUGCCCCGAGAUGAGUUCUCCCUGAGACUAUAAGUCUCCUGAAGGAACGUUGAAGACGACGACGUUGAUAGGCCGGGUGUGUAAGCGCAGCGAUGCGUUGAGCUAACCGGUACUAAUGAACCGUGAGGCUUAACCUU
rnacentral:rRNA from 2 species